GACGAACGCUGGCGGCGUGCUUAACACAUGCAAGUCGAACGGAGAUUCAGCAAUGGAUCUUAGUGGCGAACGGGUGAGUAACGCGUAGGCAAUCUGCCUUCUAGAUGGGGACAACAUCCCGAAAGGGGUGCUAAUACCGAAUGUUGUAGCGGCUUCGCAUGAAGUUGCUACUAAAGGUGGCCUCUGAAUAUGCUACCGCUAGAAGAUGAGCCUGCGUCUGAUUAGCUAGUUGGAGGGGUAACGGCCCACCAAGGCUUCGAUCAGUAGCCGGUCUGAGAGGAUGAACGGCCACACUGGGACUGAGACACGGCCCAGACUCCUACGGGAGGCAGCAGUGGGGAAUCUUCCGCAAUGGACGAAAGUCUGACGGAGCAACGCCGCGUGAGUGUAGAAGGUUUUCGGAUCGUAAAGCUCUUUCGUCAGGGACGAACGUAUUUCUUGUAAAUAAUGAGAGAUAGUGACGGUACCUGAAUAAGAAGCCACGGCUAACUACGUGCCAGCAGCCGCAGUAA
rnacentral:rRNA from 1 species